UGAAGCUGGCCAGGGUGAGCAGAUGUAAUCACUUGUGGAGCAAGAAGGUGGGAAGGAGUUUGGUUGGCUAUGAGGCAGAUUGUGAGCCCAACAACAAGACAAGGCCGAGCAGCCUCAGGAGGGCCUGACUAAAGUCUGGUCAAGGAGUCUUUGUCAGUGGCUGUGAUGACAACAGCAACAAGGACAACCACAGAAAGAAAGUAACAAAGAAAAACAAACCAGCCUAAAAGAAGAGUGGCAGACCAAACACAGAGGGUCUUGAAAACGUUAAUGACCACAGAGGGAAAGGUAUUUUUCAAGUUUGUGCAUAACAGAAGGCAGAGAAAGCAGGCUGCUCUAAGUCAACUUGACUAUCUUCUACCAAGGGAAGAAGUCUCAGUUGGGAAAGAUGAAGAGACAAUGAACUUUCACCACAUUUGGAGAUGGUUCAGAUGCCAUGCACUGAACAACCUUCCACCGUGAUGUUUCUGCCUUGGAGCGGGUGGUCACCAUAGACUGACUCCCCUUAAAAUUACCAGUUCGAAAGUUUAGGCAACAGCUGUGAAGAUAGUCGGAUUCAUUUGGACGCCCAUUCUGGUUGACUAUUAUCUACUUUUGAAGACCUGUAAUGUCUCCAAUGUUUUGGUUCUGUUGGUUUUGUUCUUUACUGUUUUGUUCAAUUUUAUUAUAACUGAUGAUAUAGGCAAUUCUAUUGGAGAUAGCAGGAGGCAUUAUGGUAACCAUUGUUGAUCACCUUGUAUUAUGUUUUUACAUUAUCUAUUAUGUCCACCCUUUUGAUUUGACCGACUCUGUUCUGUUAUGUCACAUUUGGUUUUACUCUCUUCCAAACAAAGUAAUAAGAACUGUGGGAGCAAUAAAACCCAAAAUGUGUAAUAGUCAUUGUACAAAAGAGAGGAAAAGAAAGUGCUCUAAACGAUAUAACUGCAUGUAUAUUUAAGUGUAUAAGAUAGACAAUGAUAUUAAUGAGUUUUGUUCGAUCAUUGAACAGAACUGUUUGCAGUCUCACUGUUUGAAUGUCCACUUUAUAUGCUUUAAUUUUGUAACUUGAACAAAUAUUUCUAAGAUGACAAUAUGUAAUCCAUUAACUAGUGAUUUCCUACUGUUUAUUUUUUUUCUGAAAUUCUGUAUA